AUUGAACGCUGGCGGCAUGCUUUACACAUGCAAGUCGGACGAGUGGCGAACGGGUGAGUAAUAUAUCGGAACGUACCGCUUAAUGGGGGAUAACUAAUCGAAAGAUUAGCUAAUCACGCAUAUUAUUAGAGCGGCAGAUAUCUGAUUAGCUAGUUGGUGGGGUAAAGGCCUACCAAGGCGACGGUAACUCGCGAGUCUGAGAGGAUGAUCCGCCACACUAGGAGUGAGACACUGACCAGACUCAUACGGGAGGCAGCAGUGGGGAAUUUUGGACAAUGUGCGCAAGCCUGAUCCAGCCAGGCCGCGUGUCUGAAGAAGGCCUUCGGGUUGUAAAGGACUUUUGUCAGGGAAGCGGUACCUGAAGAAUAAGCACCGGCUAACUACGUGCCAGCAGCCGCGGUAAUAC
rnacentral:rRNA from 1 species